UACGUAGGGGACAAGCGUUAUCCGGAAUUACUGGGUGUAAAGGGAGCGUAGACGGUAAUGUAAGUCUGGAGUGAAAGGCGGGGGCCCAACCCCCGGACUGCUCUGGAAACUAUGUUACUAGAGUGCAGGAGAGGUAAGCGGAAUUCCUAGUGUAGCGGUGAAAUGCGUAGAUAUUAGGAGGAACACCAGUGGCGAAGGCGGCUUACUGGACUGUAACUGACGUUGAGGCUCGAAAGCGUGGGGAGCAAACAGG
rnacentral:rRNA from 1 species